GGGUAGCAGCAAUGGUUAGCACGCUGUUUCGCUGGACUUUGAAUCCAGUGAUCCGAGUUCAAAUCUCGGUGGAACCU